GUCUACGGCCAUACCACCCUGAACGCGCCCGAUCUCGUCUGAUCUUGGAAGCUAAGCAGGGUCGGGCCUGGUUAGUACUUGGAUGGGAGAAAACACCCAGAUCUUUAACGCUACUCCAGAGCCUCCUAGUCU
ensembl:rRNA 5S_rRNA 5S ribosomal RNA